GUUAGGAAUAUUGGACAAUGGACGCAAGUCUGAUCCAGCCAUGCCGCGUGAGUGAUGAAGGCCUUCGGGUUGUAAAGCUCUUUAGCCGAUGAUUAUAAUGACUGUAGUCGGAAAAUAAGCCCCGGCUAACUUCGUGCCAGCAGCCGCGGUAAUACGAAGGGGGCGAGCGUUAUUCGGAAUCACUGGGCGUAAAGCGUGCGUAGGCGGUUUUGUAAGUUGGGAGUGAAAGCCCAGGGCUCAACCCGGGAAUUGCUCUCAAAACUACAAGACUUGAAUUCGGGAGAGGAUAGCGGAAUUGUCAGUGUAGCAGUGAAAUGCGUAGAUAUUGACAGGAACACCAGUGGCGUAAGCGGCUAUCUGGACCGACAUUGACGCUGAGGAACGAAAGCGUGGGGAUCAAACAGGAUUAGAAACCCGUGUAGUCC
rnacentral:rRNA from 1 species